UGGUCUUCUAAUGAGAAGGUGAAUGCAAACACUGCGGACACACUGAGCUCCGGAGAGUAACAGUCACAGCCCUCAAAGCGUUGGUGACUGCAUUUGAGGGCGUUUCUGGUCACUUUGACCCCGCCCACCCCUCCAUUUCUCCGGCCUCUCAGGUCAGUAGUUUGAAGCCUUUUCCCUCCGCCCUGCAGUGUCGGAAACAUCUUGUUAAACCAGCAUGUGGUAGUUCCCCACCUGUGUUUGUAUGAGAAGAAGCCCUGCUGCACACCUUUUAUUCCACCUUCUUGCAGUGACGCGUGAGUCGAGACGGGCAACGGGUGUCCUGUGGUGCAGGACACUUCAAGAAUGGCUCCGGUUGGGACGGUCGGUGUACUGGAUUGGUUUUCUCCAGAGGUGGGCGUCAUCUCCCUUGUUGCCUUCCUCGUCCUCAGCAUCACUCUUGUGGCUCUUUGCGCCAAGUGUAACAGGAGCAGCAGCAACGCCUAUGACGUGAGCGGAGCAGCGGUAUGAACUGGCUCUUUGUUUUCUCUCUCUCCCAUCAGUAGAAACCAACUUCAGUAUCUAACUGCAGCACGCAGUACCUGCUGCAGUUCAUUAGUUUCCAAUUAUGAGCCAUAACUGGCUAAUUAUCAAGAAUCAAAAGGAAGGCAGAGACAGUGAGACAGUGAUACUGGCCUCAUUAGAGCCAGGCUGUGUGGGACAGAUGCAAAUAAUCGAUUAUGUGACAGAAAUCAUUUUUGUUUUUAUCUGAAAUUUCUACAACAAGACUUUUACUGCAUAUGUGGAGCGCUGAAAUAAAGAUACAAGACAAAAACAAACUCAUACCAAAAUCCAGAAUAUGAAUGAUUACUUUCAACUGUAACAUUUGCUCCUCUGUUCAUUGCAUUUGCAGGAUGUUACUUAAAUGAUUAAAUGCAAAUGUUGAUGUUCAUUCAAAUAUAAAAACUUCAAGGACUCCACGCGGCGUUCUCUAGUUUUUUACUGAGAAAUUCAAGACAAAAACGUGACAAAUGCAAACUGGCAGAGACAAACGCAGGGAACAAAACAACAACCAAAAAAAGGAGAAAGACUUAUUUUAGUUCAGAUGAAAGGGAAACAGACGUGCACUGCCUCCAUUAAAAAAGUGAAACAGCUCUUUAAAGUGACGCAGGGAAGCGCUGACCUUUUGUUUUCAAUAUCACAGCGCUGUCUCCGAGGAUUAAGACUGACCGCUGUUGUGCAUUGUCAGGAAGAGAUUAAGAUUAUUAAGGCUUUUCACAUGUUCGUGAGAGUUACCUGCAAAACCCUGAUUGGAUUAAGAUGUUUCAAAAAACAAUCUCAGUAUGCUGCAGUGAGCUUAGACAAACACAUUAAACCGUGGAUAUGGGCUGAUGUGUUGGAGGGCCGGCUGUCAGCAGAAGUGCAGAGGCAAUGAGACACAAAAGGGCAAAAUAACCAAAUUAGCACUUCAUUUUAAACCACCCAAAUUUGCCAUGAAAGGUCAAGCAACCGUAAUACCACCACGACCACUGAUUCGCUGUGACAGCCACAGACGUCUGCGAGGGGAAAACUGUUUUGUUGCUACGCUGUGGCCAGUAAUCUUUGUGAGUGUCGACGGUGAAUUCCAAAAUCUUGCAAACCUCCUGAUAAGCUGCUCAUCAGCUCAGCAGAGAAUAUGAAUAUCUCUGUAUGCUGCAAGGAAACUGAAUUUUAUAAGACCGCGCUCUAAAUAUUCAACUUAUAAAACCAUUCUGAAACAAUUAGAAAGACUAUUCACAAGCAAGUUCACCCCAACAUCAGACUGUGCACUGCGCAGAGAAACAUCUCAGACUCUGCAGGUUUCCAUCAGCACGUUCAUGACUGAAUAAGAAGGGUUUGUUAGGGCAGCACUGCUCAAGUUUGCAAAUUUACAUCAACAAAAACAACACGACUGAAACAGUGUGGGACUAACGUGGAGCCAUAACGCACAGGAAGAGAUUCAGACACCUCAUACCACCUGCCAGAGGUGGAGGGCUGAUGAUUCGGAUGUAUCCACAUGACCUGGCCGAGUCAAUCACGAGCUCCUCUUAGACCAAAGUCUUCUAGGGACGAGUGUGAGGCCGUCCAUCCACCAGCUGGACUCGGUUUCUCUCACACGCUCCUUCUGUCUGGACUUUGGUUUCGUUUUGUUAAAUAAAUAAAGACGGGGUGUUGUUCGUUUCACGUUGUUUCAAUCAUUUGGGAACCCGGUAAGGACCACGCGAUUUUUCUUACGUGUUUUUAUGGCGCAAGAUAAAAUGUUAAAAAUUUCCAGAGUGCAAAAAUGCCAGCUCACUUCCUGGUUCCAGGACUCAUUCCUACAUCACUCUAUUAUGUCCUUGUUGUCCUAACUCUUUGGUCCUGCUCCA